GCUGGGCAUGGUGGCAUGCACCUGUAGUCCCAGCUAUUCAGGAGGCCUGAGCCCAGGAGUUCUGGGCUGUAGUGCACUAUACCAAUCAGGUGUCCGCACUAAGUUUAGCAUCAAUAAGGUAUACCCCCAGGGAGCUGGGGACCACCAGGUUGCCUAAGAAUGGGUGAACCGUUCCGGGUCGGAAAUGGAGCAGGUCAAAGUUCCCAUGCAGAUCAGUAGUGGGAUCAUGCCUAUGUACAGCCACUGCACUCCAGCCUGGGCAACAUAGU
rnacentral:SRP_RNA from 2 species